AUUGAACGCUGGCGGCAGGCCUAACACAUGCAAGUCGAACGAGUGGCGGACGGGUGAGUAAUGUGUGGGAAACUUCCUGUUGGAGGGGGAUAAAUACUGGAAACGGUCUCUAAUACCGCCUACCAUCAUAUGUGCCCAGAUGGGAUUAGCUGGUUGGUGGGGUAACGGCUCACCAAGGCGACGAUCCCUAGCUGGUCGGAGAGGAUGAACGGCCAAACUGGAACGGGGACACGGUCCAGACGCCUACGGGAGGAAGCAGGGGGGAUUAUUGCACAAGGGGGGAAAGCCUGAUGCGGCCAUGCCGCGGGUAGGAAGAAGGCUUUCGGGUUGUAAAGUACUUUCAGCGGGGAGACGUUACCCGCAUAAGAAGCACCGGCUAACUCCGUGCCAGCAGCCGCGGUAAUAC
rnacentral:rRNA from 1 species